rnacentral:rRNA from 1 species
AUUGAACGCUGGCGGAAUGCUUUACACAUGCAAGUCGAACGGCAGCACGGACUUCGGUCUGGUGGCGAGUGGCGAACGGGUGAGUAAUGUAUCGGAACGUGCCCAGUCGUGGGGGAUAACGUAGUGAAAAUUACGCUAAUACCGCAUACGAUCUAUGGAUGAAAGCGGGGGACCACAAGACCUCGCGCGAUUGGAGCGGCCGAUAUCAGAUUAGGUAGUUUGUGGGGUAAAGGCCCACCAAGCCAACGAUCUGUAGCUGGUCUGAGAGGACGGCCAGCCACACUGGAACUGAGACACGGUCCAGACUCCUACGGGAGGCAGCAGUGGGGAAUUUUGGACAAUGGGCGAAAGCCUGAUCCAGCCAUUCCGCGUGCAGGAUGAAGGCCCUCGGGUUGUAAACUGCUUUUGUACAGAACGAAAAGGUUUCUACUAAUACUAGGAGCUCAUGACGGUACUGUAAGAAUAAGCACCGGCUAACUACGUGCCAGCAGCCGCGGUAA